rnacentral:rRNA from 1 species
UACGUAGGGUGCGAGCGUUGUCCGGAAUUAUUGGGCGUAAAGGGCUCGUAGGCGGUUGGUCACGUCGGGAGUGAAAACUCGGGGCUUAACCCCGAGCCUGCUUCCGAUACGGGCAGACUAGAGGUAUGCAGGGGAGAACGGAAUUCCUGGUGUAGCGGUGAAAUGCGCAGAUAUCAGGAGGAACCCCGGUGGCGAAGGCGGUUCUCUGGGCAUUACCUGACGCUGAGGAGCGAAAGUGUGGGGAGCGAACAGG